GGAACCUACCGCCAUGCUGUCCAAAUGCGCAUUAGUGGGGUUCACGCCACCAGCUUAAUGAUCUUUCUGACGCAGUUAAUAGUGCUGUGGUUCUCAACAGAGUGGUCUACGGUUCGAUUCCCAUCUCGAGUCAGUUUAGGAUUUUAUAUUUUCUAAAUUUGCUCAGCUGUCUUCCGUAACUUGAUCGGAUCCGUUUGACAACAAAAUUGUGAGCUUUCAAUCGGAUCCGAUCAAGUUUAGCAAUUAUUCACCAAGUCUGGUGUUACCAUCACUUACAUAUCGGCCGCAGCUAUUUACCAGUUUAAUGUUCCGAUACGAUGCCGCAUAAAAACCGUCAAAGGUAUGGGUAGAAUAAAACAUAUAAGUACCUGGAUAUUAUAUAAUACGGUAUUGGACAAUCUUGGACUGCAUCGUCAUUUAACAGUAAGUGAUAUCGCAAUUAAGAGCUAACUUGUCAUUGAAUGAAAAUAAAUAAAAACAAAUUAACCCACCACGCUGUACAAAUGCGGAUUGGCAUCUUUGAUAUAAUAUACGAGUAGUUACUCUCAAGCACGCACGAUGGUCACCAUGAUUACAUUUAAACUCAAAGUCAAAGUUCAUUUAUUUCAAUUAGGCUUGGUUUAUAAGCUCUUUCGAAACGUCAGGAUAGUAGAUAAAUCAGGUUACGAGGAUUCCAAACAUGUGUUUAAUUUAUUCAUAUUAAUUAAUUAUUAUUAUUGUUAGAUUUUUAAUUAUUUAAAUAAUUAUAAAUACAUAAGACAACAUAUAAAAACUCCUUCUUCCAGAUAAAUGUUUUAAUCUGUACUGUUUAUUAAUGAUAAUGGUUUUAUUCUGAGGUUGGUAGGGUAUUGUGAUAUAUACUCUAUGUAAAAGAGGCGAACAUGCGAUUAUGUGGCGUGAAGUUUAUUUAAUUAAUGUAUUAUCCAUCUACCAAAAAGUGAGAGUACCUACGAACACGAUGUCAUUACCUACAUUAAAGUCGAUCUACAGAAAGAAAAUGUAACGGCAUUUAAAUGAAGUGUGAAUUUGGGAAACAGUGGUUUACAUUACGAGAAAUGCGAUAAAAAUCAUACGUGUGUACAACCAAUAAGUAUGUAUACCACUGACGGCUAUGGGACGCACGCCGCACUGGUCCCGGUAAAAGUAUUUAUGCGAUGUCGGUUGUCGAUGCUUACAAUAUCUAACAAGAAUGAAGAAACGUAAACGUAACACACUUAUACCAUGUUGACGAUAUUUAUGAGCAAAACAGUCAAACAGUCCAACAGCACUCAUAAGAGGAUAUUAUUUGAAAAACUGCGAGAGAACAGAGAAGAACGUGUAAAUUAAUAACAAAAUACAAAGAUGCAUGUGUGGUGUUAGCUGCAGAGUUAUAUGAGAUGGAAUCCUGUUGGUUUGACGGAUGAGAAAUACCAAUGAUGUCUAAAUAUAUUAAACUAGGUGUCUGGUGAGUUUUAUUAGUUUGAUUAAACAGCCUCAUAAAUUAUUCAGUUGUGACUAAUAUGAAAUAAAAUUACAAAGAAUAAAUAAUCACUAGGUGAAACUAAGUAUGGUUGAUAGGUUGUCAGUUUGUCUGGCUUAUUGUCAAAACAUUUUUGUUAGAUGACUAUAUCUAGGAAACCAAAAUCAUUUAAGUGAAAAGUACACACACACACACACACAUACACACUGCUCAAGAAAUUAACGUAUGAAGACAGACCACUCUAGGGUUGUUAGGAUGUAGGACACUGGCAUAAUGUAAUAUUGAGAAAUCUUAAUUAUAGAACUACAUUACAUCCGUUGCUGACAUGGGACUAAAAUGAAUUAACUAAAAUAUUGUUUUUUUUUGUGCCUGUAACUUCAAACUAUACAUUUGUUAUAUGUGAGUUUUUAUGACUGAAUAACAUAAAAAUUAAAAAUAUAUGAAGUUUUAUGUAAUGGUUCAAGUAUUAUUUUAGGCCUUGAUGUAGGUACCUGAUAACAAGUUUUGAGACAGCUAUUACAAUAUUUUCAGAUAGGAUUUGCUUAGAUAUAUCAUUAUGUAGAUUACUGUAUGUACUUAAUAUAAAUUUUUUUAAAUCUUUUAAGAAAUUGGAUUGAUAGAUUUCUUGAAAAAUAAAUUUGUAGUUAUGUUUGAAAACCUAUUUAACUAUUCAAGCAUUGACAACAUGCCUUCAGCCUAUUUAGUAUAGAACAGUUAUUAACAAUCUGCAGCAACACAGUAAAUGAUUCUUAUCCAUGAAUAUUAUUAUAUUCGGCUUAUCUACAAGAGUACUAAGAGAUAUUAUGAUAUUCAUCUUAAUGAAAUCUUAUAAUUAAUUAAAUUGGAGAUUUUUUUUAGGGUGAUAUUAAAAAGUUACUUGUGUGACAAUUGAGUAAUAAAUAAUUAAUUAUAAUAAUAUCAUUGAUCACAAAUUGUCUUAGAGCCCAGUCUGUAUGGACUUCAAGUAAAGAGACACAGAUUGCCAUAAAUAGGUUGUAAAAUAUUUGUCUAAGACAUAUUUUGACAGUUUUGUGGGUGGGUGACGUUGGGCUCUCUUUUCAUUAAUGGUCAUGUGCAGAUGUAUAGAUUCUACAUACAAGUAAAUUAACCAUACUAUUGCUGUUGUUUUAGAUUCAAUCAAUCAGUUUAUUAUUUGCAGAUACACUAGUGUAUUUAAUCCAUGUCUCAUUUGUUUAUUUCUAGCAUUUUAUUAGAUUGCAACAUUUUGUAUAAUUAUGAAAAUUAGUAAUUAUUAUGGGGUUGUGGUUAGAAUUAUAUAUUCGGAUGGUUACAAUGAUAUGUGCAUAAGGUUUUAACUAGGGUAUACUAGUACACUAAAGGUAAAAAAAAAAAAAAUUAGAAAAUUCCUUGGCCAACAUAUUAAGUGGUAUAGGUUUUGAAUAUAGAUUUGUAUUGGGUCCUUAGGUAGUCAGUACAUUUGUGCAUCUACAAAGUGCACGCCACCGAGUUCUUGGUACCUGCAUGCAACUGAUGGGUGGUCUGCAUCAAGUAUGAAUCAAUAUAGAGACUUAAAUCAUUACAUCAGUAAAAUAAUUAAUGGAUAUAGCCAAAAAAAAAAAAAAAAAAGAAAUUUAACAGAAUUAAAAAAAAAAGAAUAUACUAAAAUUAAUGAAUAGGUAAAACCUCUGAUAGCAAACUAGAGGUAUAUAACAAAGGGGGUGGUCUGGUCUAAGACAGGUUUAUGCUACUAUUAUUACAAAAAAGGGGGUAGUCUGAAGAUAAUUAUACAAUACAUAGUCAAAUAUCAUCUUUUCUUAUCUAGUGAUAACUACUAGGAUUGGAUUACAUACUAAAAUUAUUACAAUCAUAAAUCGCAAUAUUUUCAAGAAGUCUUUAUUAUCAUUAAAAAAAAAAAGCAUUUCUUUAAGAGAAAGAGUCUUUUGUCUGAAUUAAAGUAAAUUGAUAGAUUAACACAUGUUUAACAUUUUAUUUCAUUUUAUGUACCGGGUCUAAGGUUCAUUCAAUUAUAGACUGAUUUUCUCUUGGAUGCUAGGUAUGCUAGUUAUGUUAAAUUAAAUUAUUUGUCAAACAAGUAUGAUAUUUAUCUGAACGAUUAAGUGACUGAGCUAUGUGAUACUGUGUGAAAAUAUUUGAUUACAGAUCCGAGAUGCAUGGAUAUUGAUUGAUGAAUAUGGGAUAUAUGAGAUUCUCAUGAUAAUCAUUGGGUUGAACACAGCCCUAUUCGACAGUUGACCCAAAUCACAAAGAUGAGAGAAGUUACACUAUGUAUUGAUAACACACGAUUUAAAUUUAGUAUUUUUAUUUAUGAUAUGAUGAUAUUAUAAUUAUGUAUUAUAUUGAGAGUUAUUAGUUUUGAUAUCAUAUAUACAUAUAUUUUAAAUAUUUGCUCACAUCCAUGAUGUUAUUCAUUAAUUAUGACUUACUGAUGACGAUUUGUGUUUUGGUAAAAUUUUAAUAUAAGGAUAGAUGUAUUACACAGGCCGACACGAUUUUCGUUGUCCAAGAUAUAAUUAUUUUUUUUCUACUGAUUUUGUAGUGCUGAUUACGAAAUCAGACCUAAUUUUAUCAUAUCACAUCAGAUUUUUAGUAAAAUUAAUAUAUUCGCUAGUUUUGAUUUUUCAGUGAAAUUUUCGAGUUUUGGCACUCUUUCUUUGAAUUAAGCGACCUCUCAUGAGAAAUUACUUCAGUUAUAACAACGACACACCUAUUUGUAACGCGUUUCGUGGAAAUAAGCUGUUAUAGUGCCUUUGUUAAAAAAAAAUAUAUAUAUAUUUUAGUUAAUGGUUUUUUUUGUUGUUGGAAAACGUCUGAUAAACAUAACGUCUUCUAUAAAGUGUCACAAUAGUCCAGAUAUAUUUUGUUACAUUUGUUGAAACUUUAUGAUUCUAAGCAAAAACUGAAAAAUUUGUGGAAAAUAUGUAUAAUAAAUAUGUAGCUUAUUUUGACUUCAAAAUACAAAUAAAAUCGUGGACUCUGCAGUUUGUACUAAUCGUGUUGAACAAUUAAGGCAGUGGACACUGGACAUACAGCAAAAGACAAUCUCUACCUUUUGGUACUACCUAUGAUAUAGUGAAAGCAAGACAAUCAUACAGAUAUUGUUAUUUUUGCUGUAUGUUAGAAGCUUUUAAAGUAAAAUUUGUUUUCCUUUUUGUAAAAAAAAUUGAUGUGAUAGAUUAAUUGUGCAGGUAUUUUUGUGUUCAAAAUACUAUAAAUUACUGAUAAUUUUUACUGAAAUCAAAACAACGUUCAAAAAGUAUUCAUUUGUCGGCCGGUGUUAUCGAUAAUAUUUUAGAUAGUAUUAUAGUAUAGUAGUGUUAUGACGACUAAUAUACCGUUAUUUGUUUUGUGAAUGAUUAUGGAUAUAGUUGUUGUAUAAUAAUUUCUCUAUUGAUUAUUACACAGCAAAAUAAAAUAAAUAAAUAAAUAUAAAAAGAUUCCAACGAAUUGAUAAACUCCUUUUUUUUGAAGUCGUUUAAAAAUGUAUGUAUAUGUAUUUAUAUCUGAUUUUAUAUUUUGAUUAUCUUCUAUCACAUGUCAUCUGGAAGUCUAACACGAUCAUGAAGUCCUGUAACUAUAUUAGUUCUGAACUUGAUGGUGAGGGGUUCGGUGCAGAUGCAACACAUCAUCUGGAAGUCUAACACGAUCACAAAGUCCUGUAACUUUACUAGUUCUUGACUUGGUGGUGAGGGGUUCGGUGCAGAUGUCACACAUCAUCUGGAAGUCUAACACGAUCACAAAGUCCUGUAACUUUACUAGUUCUUGACUUGGUGGUGAGGGGUUCGGUGCAGAUGUCACACAUCAUCUGGAAGUCUAACACGAUCACAAAGUCCUGUAAUUUUACUAGUUCUGGACUUGGUGGUGAGGGGUUCGGUGCAGAUGUCACACAUCAUCUGGAAGUCUAACACGAUCACAAAGUCCUGUAACUUUACUAGUUCUGGACUGGGUGGUGAGGGGUUCGGUGCAGAUGCCAUUAAUCGAUGAUGACGAAUUUGACAAAUAUAAAUAAUGUUUUGAAAUGAUGAAAAUAGAUAAGUUGAUUGACAAAAGCUUCACAUGAACAUUAUGUUUAUUUAUAAUAUGUAUCACUCUUAUUCUUAUUUAACAUUUUUAUGAUAAAAGUAUAUAGAAGAAAUCAAGAAUUUCAUUAUAGUUUCAUUGGAUUCUUUUAAAUAACUUAUGGGAUGCUGUGUGAUAAUUAAUUAUAAAAUUUUAUUGUUAACAUUGUUCUAUUUAUAGUUGAUAUUAUAGUAAUGUCAUAAUUUCAUGAUAUUCUUGUGUUGUUUGGGGACAAACUUUUAGUAAGGAUGGCCGAAUAUUAGAAGAUAAAGACAUUACAUUUGUAAAUAUUACAUAUCGUCUAUGUACUUAAUGCUUUAAAUUAAUCUACUACUCUGUCUAAGUUAAUUACAAUAUUUAAUAAGUCUCUGUCUAGAGUAAAGCUCCCUCUUGUCAUCUGGAAGCUCAGACAAAUAUUAGAAGAUAAAGACAUUACAUUUGUAAAUAUUACAUAUCGUCUAUGUACUUAAUGCUUUAAAUUAAUCUACUACUCUGUCUAAGUUAAUUACAAUAUUUAAUAAGUCUCUGUCUAGAGUAAAGCUCCCUCUUGUCAUCUGGAAGCUCAGACAUACAUAAGACCUACCUCGCUAGAUGUUGUUUUUCGUCAAAGUACAUGAUUUACUUGUAUGAUCUAAUGCGAUUAUAAGAACUGUCUCAGUAGAAUCGAGGUUUCAUAGUUAUAACUUUAUAUUAACAUAACUUUUAGUUUAGUUUAGGAAUGACAAAAUGACAGACAAUUUUGUCAUGAAUUUGGGUAAUUGGACUGAAUCUGGAAGUGAUUAAAGAUUGAAUUUAUUUCAAAUUUGUAAAAACAAGAAUUAACAUACCAGUUUAACUGAAUUUAAGUGUUUGGAUUUUUAUCAAUAGAAUCACUAUCAAAAUCUGUAUAGGUCUGUAUUCACAAUUUGUAAAUAUUGAAUGAGAAAUCUGUUAAACUAUAAUUAUAUAAUUCUUAAAGAAUAAUUAAAUGUAUUGUAGGGUGUUUCAACAUAUUGUUAAAUCAAGGUUUAAAAUUAGAAAAUAUCUGUAAUGACAAAAUUGAAUUUUACUACUUGUAAAUCAGUGAAUUUAGCAAGUAGUAAUAAUAAUAGAUUAAUUGGGACUCACUUUUGUUAUAAUUAGAAAUUAUUGGAGAAUUAAUGAGUUGUGGUAAUAAACAUAAAUUAAAAUUUUAAAUACUAUGAGACAUAGUUCAGUGAAUCUUUAUAAUAAUGUAAUGUUAGAAUUUAUUUGUGUUUACAAAGUUUGAGGACAAACUUGUAGUCAGUAUGGCCGAAUGUUAGAUUUUUAAUUAUUUAAAUAAUUAUAAAUACAUAAGACAACAUAUAAAAACUCCUUCUUCCAGAUAAAUGUUUUAAUCUGUACUGUUUAUUAAUGAUAAUGGUUUUAUUCUGAGGUUGGUAGGGUAUUGUGAUAUAUACUCUAUGUAAAAGAGGCGAACAUGCGAUUAUGUGGCGUGAAGUUUAUUUAAUUAAUGUAUUAUCCAUCUACCAAAGUAACGAUUUGUUUAAGAAUGAGGAAUAAGUUAUUUGAAAUACAGUUUAUACAUUCCA